rnacentral:misc_RNA from 1 species
AAACCACUACUUGUCGCGUUUAUUGCAAGCAAUCCCCUUUACUGGAUUUUUCGCUAUUAGCCUUCUCAUGGAGAGGGACCCUUGCAUACACGUGCCGAGAACUCGUAAGGGUGGCACGUUUAGACACUCCGAGGAUGUCGAGCUGCAUGCCAACGACUUCGAAUGGGACGAAAAGGUAGCGGAGCUGACCAUCGCUGAGCGACAGCUUGUUGAUGAGUACAUGAGUAGGUGCAUGGCAGAAUUAAGUCGUACCGGAUCGUGGGAGUCGCUGGAUGAGGUCCCUGAAAAGCCGUGGGAGAUGCAUUUCUCUGCAACGAAGCAUCACUUUCCUCUCAAGAACUACAUCGUGCAUGCGUUUCCGCUGCUGCGCACCGUUAUGGGCAGACGAGGCUCGCCUGCGUGGAUUUUAGAGUGUGGUUGCGGUACUGGGAGCACCCUGCUUCCAAUUAUGCGUGAAUGUACAAGCCCAGACGUCCAUUUUGUAGGCUUCGACAUCUCACCAUCUGCGCUCUCGCACUUCAGGAGCCAUGAGAUUGCACAGGGCUAUCUGCAACGAAAUCAGCUUACACUGCUUCCCUUGGCAAUCGGCACCUCUUCCUGCGUCACGAGCGCGGACCCUACGGCACCGCUGGCGAAGCGGCAACGGAUUGAUGAAAAUGCUACCCUUGUAGUCGAUGCCCUUACUGCAGCGGACAAAUCUCUUCAGCACCAAAAGUUUGAUGCAAUUCUGCUAGUUUUUGUCCUCUCUGCGCUGCCGACCGUUGAAAAAAUGCUUUCGGCUAUCAAACAGCUGAAGAAUGUUUUGAAGCAAGAUGGAAUUCUUCUUUUCAGGGAUUAUGCGCUUCCCGACCACAACUUUUUCCGCUUCUUGUCCAAAAUGGACAACAAGGUUGGAAACAUCGCUUUUGCAAAAGGCGACUGCACAACUCAGGUGUUCUUCUACAAAGAGUUUGCAGCCAAACUUUUUUCCGCUGCUGGCCUAGUCGAGGUGGACGAUGUUCCGUCAAAUCUGACGUAUCACUGCAAUCGCAUUGUGAACCGUAAAAAUGGGAAAAAAAUGGAUAAGAUUUUCAUCAACGGAACGUUUAAGCUGGCACCGAGCAGCUGAGCUGUGCAAUACUGAUGGAAGCGGUGUGGAAGCCGCAAU